rnacentral:misc_RNA from 1 species
CAACAUUCUUCCAUAUUUAACCAAUUAUUCGUGCCGCGACCAACUGUUUAGAGUUCAGAUAUUCAGAAAAAAUUGCAAAAUGACAAAUUCCUAUUCUCUGUGUACUGACUCAAAUGCUGAAAAUGCACAAGAGAAGUAGUAACAGUUCAUGGCUCUCAAAUAUUGAAAGUCACAAGAGAAAGCCUUGAUGAUAUUCAUAUUCAACGCCCUACCGACAGUUGGAUUUAAAACCUCUGAUGAUUAUUUCUUGCUUGAAACGUAAAUGCCAGAUAUUAUGGCGACUCCUGCAACAGCAACUCCAAGGGUUGUCACAAUCUUCGAAACAGUUAUGAGAGGUUUGGGUGACGGUAUUGAUAGUAGUUCCUUAACCUCAAUAGGUUGCUCCCAGUUCUUCUUGAUUCCUGGAAGGUGACCCUUGCCAACAACUGCGACAACAGAGCUGUGUUCACGGGCAACUUUUAGUAACAUUGAUGACAUAAACUGAUCUCGCUCAUGAACUAGGGUAUCCAUAAGAGUAGGGAACUGCUUGCUCAUUUCUUGAAUCACAAGAGUCAACAUGUCAACAUCAUCCAUAUCCUUCAACAUUUUGACGAGAUCUUCAGGCUUCGGUAAAAAAACUGCUUGGAACAAUAGAGAGUACACCAAUUUUGUCUUGUGCCAAAGUGGCAUUUUUGCCCAUGUUCUUCGUAAUGUCACUUGCACGGGCCGGUCACCGAGAAUCACUUUACCACCGUACUUCAUUGCUUCUUCAUAUGCCACACGAAACUCAGCCCCGGGAAAAACCUCAAGCUUGGUAGCAACCUUGGCAAGAAACC